rnacentral:rRNA from 1 species
UUUAAUUUAAGGUCUGACCUGCCCACUGAUAUUAAUUAAAUGGCCGCAGUAUUUUAACUGUGCAAAGGUAGCAUAAUCAUUAGUCUUUUAAUUGAAGGCUUGUAUGAAUGGUUGGACGAAAUAUAGACUGUCUCACAGAUAAUUUUUAUAAUUUUAUUUUUUAGUCAAAAAGCUAAAAUUUAUUUGAAAGACGAGAAGACCCUAUAGAUCUUUAUAAUUGAUUUAUUUAUUAAUAUUUAGAUGUAUUAAUUAAUAAUUAAGUUAAUUAUUUUAUUGGGGUGAUAUUAAAAUUUAAUGAACUUUUGAUUAAUUUAUUUAGAACAUUUAUUUAUGAAUAAUUGAUCCAUUAAUAGUGAUUAUAAAAUUAAGUUACCUUAGGGAUAACAGCGUAAUCUUCUUGGAGAGUUCAAAUCGAUAAGAAGGGUUGCGACCUCGAUGUUGGACUAAAAUAAAUUCUAGGUGCAGUAGUUUAGAAUAUUAAGUCUGUUCGACUUUUAAUUUUUUACAUGAUCU